CCGAGUUUACAACUCCCAAACCCCUGUGAACAUACCUAUACGUUGCCUCGGCGGAUCAGCCCGCGCCCCGUAAAACGGGACGGCCCGCCAGAGGACCCCUAAACUCUGUUUCUAUAGUGGAACUUCUGAGUAAAACCAUAAAUAAAUCA
rnacentral:misc_RNA from 1 species